CAGAAGCGGCAAUCUUCAACCUUGAGAAUUAUGGAAUUCAAAGAUGCUAAUGAUGAUUUAAUUAUUGAAGAUUUGGAUUUAGAACUUCGACCUGGGAUUAAUUGAAGUUGAGGAAGGAAUCAAAGUUGCGCAAAGUUGCGGAAGGAACCAAAGUUGGGGGAAAGAACUGUACCGGUAACAAAUAUGCAGCGCCUAUAUUUACAUCUUGAGAAAUUUUUAUUC